CUACAUCUCCCUUCAUCCCACUACAUGGAGAACUACAUCUCCCACCACCAAAUGCAUGGAGAACUACGUCUCCCAUCACCCACUGCAUGGAGAACUAUAUCUCCCAGCAUCCCCUGCAUGAAGAACUACAUCUCCCAUCACCCACUGCAUGAAGAACUACAUCUCCCAUCACCCACUGCAUGGAGAACUACAUCUCUCAUCAUCCCACUGCAUGUAGAACUACAUCUCCCAUCAUCCCCUGCAUAGAUAACUACAUCUCCCAUCAUCCCCUGCAUGGAGAACUACAUCUCCCAUCAUCCCACUACAUAGAUAACUACAUAUCCCAUCAUCCCACUGCAUGGAGAACUACUUCUCCCAUCAUCCCACUGCAUAGAUAACUACAUCUCCCAUCAUCCCACUGCAUGGAGAACUGCUUCUCCCAUCAUCUCACUGCAUAGAUAACUACAUCGCCCAUCAUCCCCUGCAUAGAUAACUGCAUCUCCCAUCAUCCCCUGCAUGGAGAACUACAUCUCCCAUCAUCCCACUACAUAGAGAACUACAUCUCCCAUCAUCCCCUGCAUAGAUAACUACAUCUCCCAUC